GGGUGCGAUCAUAUCAGCACUAAUGGACCGGAUCCUAUCAGAACUCCGAAGUUAAGUGUGCUUGCACGAGUGUAGUACUAGGAUGGGUAACCCUCUGGGAAGUCCUCGUGUUGCAUCCC